rnacentral:rRNA from 1 species
GAUGAACGCUGGCGGCGUGCCUAAUACAUGCAAGUCGAGCGAACAGACGAGGAGCUUGCUCCUCUGACGUUAGCGGCGGACGGGUGAGUAACACGUGGAUAACCUACCUAUAAGACUGGGAUAACUUCGGGAAACCGGAGCUAAUACCGGAUAAUAUAUUGAACCGCAUGGUUCAAUAGUGAAAGACGGUUUUGCUGUCACUUAUAGAUGGAUCCGCGCCGCAUUAGCUAGUUGGUAAGGUAACGGCUUACCAAGGCAACGAUGCGUAGCCGACCGGAGAGGGUGAUCGGCAACACUGGAACUGAAACACGGUCCAGACUCCUACGGGAGGCAGCAGUAGGGAAUCUUACGCAAUGGGCGAAAGCCUGACGGAGCAACGCCGCGUGAGUGAUGAAGGUCUUCGGAUCGUAAAACUCUGUUAUUAGGGAAGAACAAAUGUGGAAGUAACUAUGCACGUCUUGACGGUACCUAAUCAGAAAGCCACGGCUAACUACGUG